UUUAAUGUGGUGGCAGCUGGCUGGGAGGAGCAGGAGCCCAGUUCCCUAAAAGCCAAUAGUUCUGGAAAUGGAGGAGGGCUGUUUGAACCAGCGCGUUAACAUCACCCAGGAGCUUGUUAGAAAGGUAAUUCUGAAGUUUGAGAACCGGUGGAAUAAGGCCAGGGAACUCACACAAGGCCACAGCUCUUAGGUGACCUAAAAAAAAGUGGACGACAGCUGAGGAGCCACCAUGCCUGGUGUGGCCAGGCCUGUACUGAAGCAGCUGAGGGCGCGUCCACGCCCGUCAAACCAUCCCGGGCACCCCGUCUCACCACCAGCCUCUCCCCGACGUCUGUUGUGACUUGACCUAUGCUCGUGGCACAGGGAAAGGGCUGUGGCCUCUCAGGCUCCCAGGCUAUUAUUAGUUCCAAUCCGCACAAAUCUACCAGUGCUAAAGGGAAGCUUCUGCGAACUUUGGAAGGUGGAUUAACUGUUUCAGAGCAGCAGCUGCGGGCCCAGAUAGUUGUCGGAGCCGCUAGACACAGCCAAGCGCUUCCCUGAAAGCCAAGGCCGGCGGCGAGCUGGUGGUCCCGCCGGCCGGAGGCCCCUCCCCGCCAGGCCGCAGAACCCGGGUCGGAGAGCAGCCAGUCUCAACCUGCGUCCCCAAGGCCGAGGAUGUGUCCUGGUUUUUUAAAAAGCUGUUUGCGCACUUCCAGGGCCUCACCCCUUUCAUUUGGGGCUCCAGUAUUACUGUAUUGACCUAAUUAAUUCAUUUUUUUCUCAGUCCAAAGUGGAAGCCGGAGCACAGGGAUGCAAAUCAAAUACAAACCCGUCCUGGGUGCCAAUACUCUGG
rnacentral:lncRNA from 10 species